GAUGAACGCUGGCGGCGUGCCUAAUACAUGCAAGUCGAGCGAACAGAUGAGGAGCUUGCUCCUCUGACGUUAGCGGCGGACGGGUGAGUAACACGUGGAUAACCUACUUAUAAGACUGGGAUAACUUCGGGAAACCGGAGAUAAUACCGGAUAAUAUAUUGAACCGCAUGGUUCAAUAGUGAAAGACGGUUUUGCUGUCACUUAUAGAUGGAUCCGCGCCGCAUUAGCUAGUUGGUAAGGUAACGGCUUACCAAGGCGACGAUGCGUAGCCGACCUGAGAGGGUGAUCGGCCACACUGGAACUGAGACACGGUCCAGACUCCUACGGGAGGCAGCAGUAGGGAAUCUUCCGCAAUGGGCGAAAGCCUGACGGAGCAACGCCGCGUGAGUGAUGAAGGUCUUCGGAUCGUAAAACUCUGUUAUUAGGGAAGAACAAAUGUGUAAGUAACUAUGCACGUCUUGACGGUACCUAAUGAGAAAGCCACGGCUAACUACGUG
rnacentral:rRNA from 1 species